CGUGAAAUACACUGUCUUCGAGCAUCUUAAAACAGACAAUUUUCCAACCUUCUCUGGAGAAGAAGAGAUCUGUGGAAAUGUGUGAGGCGCUUGCGUUUUUGCACAAAGUGUCAAAGCUGGGAAGCAUGAGGACGGAGCGAGACUGAUGUAGGAGGCCUAGCUCUCUGAGGAGGUAACGGCUGCCCUGGUCUAGGCUGAACUCCACUGGACCCCUUCUUGAUCCUUCAUUUGUGCUUUCUCAUUUGUCACAGCCGUAUGAGUUUAUCUGCUGUGUCUGACAUCAUUUCCCCAGUUACGCUGAAGAUCGCAGAGUUCCUUGCAGCUGUCAUGUCAAUGAUAUCUUUUUGUUGGGAGAAAGAAUACUUAUGGGAUGUCAGUUCUGUUGGCCUCAGAAUUGCUAUUCUUGAAAACUUGCUCUGUAUUUGAUUUUCUGCCUCAUAGAAGUAAUCACUGACUUGCUUUAGAUAUGCUUGUGUUUGCCUGCUGAUUGAUGAAGUCCACAUUUAGUGGACUUGCUAGGUUUUUUGUUUGUUCUUUGAGUAAUGCUGCUGAAAGUAAAAUUAGACAUGCCCCCCUGCCCCAAAAGGGCAGUUUCAGUGGUGGGUGGAUAGAUUUAGUUUGUGGUCAGGAGGUCACGUUCCAGUUAGAC
rnacentral:lncRNA from 1 species